rnacentral:tRNA from 1 species
ACAAAAUGUAGCUUAACAAGAGCACCUUGCUUACACCAAGGACGUGUCCGUGGAACUCGAACCAUUUUGA